ensembl:ncRNA R09A8.7 ncRNA
UUGAAGGGGGACCAAGGUGCAAAGCGUCAGAGAGUAUGAAAUUGGGUCCUGGAUAGACAAUAUCUGUGUGAUGAAACAGGGGGAGGAGGAGUCAGAAACUACGGAUUUCAAAAACCGAACCGCGCACGUGUGCAAAUAAAUAGUUCAAAGUGUUGCGUGGCAAAUGGUUUGGUCAGUGCAAAUAUGAACAGCUCAAUCUUAGAUCCUAUAGAGGACA